AUAAAGUUUUAUUUUAGCUUUAAGGUUUUCUUUUAAUUUAUUUUAUAUGCAAGUUUUUGCAUGAAAUUUAAUUAAUUUUAAAAGUUAUUUAAUUAAAUAUUAAAUUCGCAGUAAUUAGAAUUAUUAAUUGAAGAAAUUCAGAAAUAGAUAUAUUAAAAAGUAUUGGCUAAAUUUGUGCCAGCAGCCGCGGUUACACAAAUAAUACAAGAAAAUUUAUUUAGAAAUGAGUUAAAUUGUUUUAUAAAAAAUAAAUAAAAAUUUAUAAGGUGAAAUUUUAUAUUUUUGAAUUUUUUAAAAUUUUUUAUUGAAGCUUGUAAAAUUUUGAAUUAAACUAGGAUUAGAUACCCUAUUAUAGAAAAUGUAAAUUUAAAAAUUUGAGUAGUAUUAGAUAUGAUCUUGAAACUUAAAAAAUUUGGCGGUAUUUUAGUCUAUUCAGAGGAACCUGUCCUAUAAUUGAUAAUCCACGAUGGAUCUUACUUAAAUUGGUUAAUCAGUUUAUAUACCGUCGUUAUUAGAAUAUUUUAAAAGAAUAAUAAUUUUCUAAAAUUUGUAUAAAAAUAUAUAUCAGAUCAAGGUGUAGCUUAUGUUUAAGGAGAGAUGGGUUACAAUAAAUUUAUUUAAAUGGAUAUAAAAAUGAAAUAAUUUAUUAAAAGUGGAUUUGAUAGUAAAAUUAUAUAGAUAAAUAAUUUGAUUUUAGCUCUAAAAUAUGCACACAUCGCCCGUCGCUCUUAUUAUUAAGGUAAGAUAAGUCGUAACAUAGUAGAAGUACCGGAAGGUGUUUCUAGAAAG
rnacentral:ncRNA from 1 species